AGUUGCGCGCCGAGAGCUCUGCUGGGGGCUGAUGGUUGUGCGUUCUUCCGGGCCGGCCUUGACUGUCUUCGAAAAAACCUCGUCGGGGCAAUAGUUAAGUGGAAAGAUUAAAAUCGUUUUUAGACCGGGCGCGUUGACUCAGGCCUGUAGUCCAGCACUGGGAGGCCAAGGCGGGAGGAUCGCUUGAGCCUGGGAGGUCGAGGUUGCAGUGAGCGGAGAUCAUGCCCCUGCUCUCUAGCCUGUGCGAGAGAGCAAGACCCUGUCUCAAAACAAACCCACAGUUUGUUUUUGUUUUGAGACGGAAUGGCGCGACGUCGGCUCACUGCAACCUGCUUCCCCCGGGUUCAAGCGAUUCUCCUGCCUAAGCCUCCUGAGUAGCUGGGAUUACAGGCGCGCGCCACCACGCCCUGCUGAUUUUUGUAUUUUUAGUAGAGACAGGUUUCACCAUGUUGGCCAGGUUGGUCUCAAACUCCUGACCUCAGGUGAUUCGCCCGCCUCGGCCUCCCGAAGUGCUGGGAUUACAGGCGUGAGCCACCGCACCCAGCCCAAACCCACAGUUUUAAUCAUGCUUUUGCUUGGCAAGCCGAUUUCUCUAAGCCAGAGUGAGCCGCAAGGAGAGCCCACGGAAAACUUCUGUGACCAAGCGUAUGGGGGGCUUUCCCCAUACACCAAGAAAGCAGUUCGACACUAUCCACCUGGAAGUCACGUCAGAUCCUACAGAACUUGUCAACAACUCAGUCCCACAAAAGUGCCCCUGACUUGAGACAUCAAUUGCAAGUCCGAGCUUCUGGAACUUCCCACCAACCAGCUAUUAAUUGGCAUUCCCAUGAAGCUCCUUUUGGGUUCAGGGCAGCAGGCAAGAAGAACCCAUCAGGCUGUGAUACCUGUGCCACUUGCUCAUGAAGGGCCACCAGCUGCUGGAGCCGUACCUGAUGUUCCCCACCCCACAACUCCCAGCA
rnacentral:lncRNA from 1 species